AGAGAGAGGAGGAAUUGAGAGAAUGAGUCAUGAACUUCAAACCCUAACCCUCCACUCUCCCUCCUUUGGUUCGUCACUCCUCCUACCAUUCCUUGCUGUCAAAGUUGCUGUCACCGACGUGGCAUUGUGAUUCUUUUGGCUUGCUUCAGUUCUGAACUUUUCCAGCUUUGUUGUGCCAUUUUUGUCGCUUGCUCUGUUCAAUUUUUGGUGGUUAAAAGGGGAUUGAGGAGAGUUCCUAUUACGGACGUGAUUAAAUUUAAGUAUUAUUGUGGGAACUUGUCAGAUAGCACCGCAAACCCUGUCCCUCCAGCUGAGCAGUGAAGAGCCUUAGUGAAGAUCCAGAACCUCUGAAUCUAUUUUGAAUAGUUGUUAACUAAUGUAAACCCAAGAGUACACUUAUGUAUUUAAUUUUGUAGUAUGUGCUCCACGAAAUCUAUAGUUAGAUCCUAGUCUUUUGAGAUAAAUUGGGAUGUAAUUAUAUAUAUACUUGUGUUCGGGAGUAGGGCCCCGAAUACUAUUUUAAAUAUGUAGGCCAUUGUAGAACUUUCAGGGAGUCUGAUUUACCAUGGAGACCUUGCCGAAAUUUCUACAAAUGGUUUAUUAUUUUGGUUAUAUGCCUUAUUUAUAGUGGAUGUUAAUUGUCAGUGA